GGGUUGUGAGGUUAAGCGACUAAGCGUACACGGUGGAUGCCCUGGCAGUCAGAGGCGAUGAAGGGCGUGCUAAUCUGCGAUAAGCGCCGGUAAGGUGAUAUGAACCGUUAUAACCGGCGAUACCCGAAUGGGGAAACCCAGUGUGAUUCGUCACACUAUCAUUAACUGAAUCCAUAGGUUAAUGAGGCGAACCGGGGGAACUGAAACAUCUAAGUACCCCGAGGAAAAGAAAUCAACCGAGAUUCCCCCAGUAGCGGCGAGCGAACGGGGAGGAGCCCAGAGCCUGAAUCAGCAUGUGUGUUAGUGGAAGCGUCUGGAAAGGCGCGCGAUACAGGGUGACAGCCCCGUACACAAAAGCGCAUGUGCUGUGAGCUCGAUGAGUAGGGCGGGACACGUGGUAUCCUGUCUGAAUAUGGGGGGACCAUCCUCCAAGGCUAAAUACUCCUGACUGACCGAUAGUGAACCAGUACCGUGAGGGAAAGGCGAAAAGAACCCCGGCGAGGGGAGUGAAAAAGAACCUGAAACCGUGUACGUACAAGCAGUGGGAGCACCCUUUGGGUGUGACUGCGUACCUUUUGUAUAAUGGGUCAGCGACUUAUAUUCUGUAGCAAGGUUAACCGAAUAGGGGAGCCGGAGGGAAACCGAGUCUUAAUUGGGCGUUAAGUUGCAGGGUAUAGACCCGAAACCCGGUGAUCUAGCCAUGGGCAGGUUGAAGGUUGGGUAACACUAACUGGAGGACCGAACCGACUAAUGUUGAAAAAUUAGCGGAUGACCUGUGGCUGGGGGUGAAAGGCCAAUCAAACCGGGAGAUAGCUGGUUCUCCCCGAAAGCUAUUUAGGUAGCGCCUCGUGAAUUCAUCUCCGGGGGUAGAGCACUGUUUCGGCUAGGGGGCCAUCCCGGCUUACCAACCCGAUGCAAACUGCGAAUACCGGAGAAUGUUAUCACGGGAGACACACGGCGGGUGCUAACGUCCGUCGUGAAGAGGGAAACAACCCAGACCGCCAGCUAAGGUCCCAAAGUCAUGGUUAAGUGGGAAACGAUGUGGGAAGGCCCAGACAGCCAGGAUGUUGGCUUAGAAGCAGCCAUCAUUUAAAGAAAGCGUAAUAGCUCACUGGUCGAGUCGGCCUGCGCGGAAGAUGUAACGGGGCUAAACCAUGCACCGAAGCUGCGGCAGCGACACUGUGUGUUGUUGGGUAGGGGAGCGUUCUGUAAGCCUGCGAAGGUGGCCUGUGAGGGUUGCUGGAGGUAUCAGAAGUGCGAAUGCUGACAUAAGUAACGAUAAAGCGGGUGAAAAGCCCGCUCGCCGGAAGACCAAGGGUUCCUGUCCAACGUUAAUCGGGGCAGGGUGAGUCGACCCCUAAGGCGAGGCCGAAAGGCGUAGUCGAUGGGAAACGGGUUAAUAUUCCCGUACUUGGUGUUACUGCGAAGGGGGGACGGAGAAGGCUAUGUUGGCCGGGCGACGGUUGUCCCGGUUUAAGCGUGUAGGUGUGUGUUCCAGGUAAAUCCGGUUCACUUUAACACUGAGGCGUGACGACGAGGCACUACGGUGCUGAAGCAACAAAUGCCCUGCUUCCAGGAAAAGCCUCUAAGCAUCAGGUAACAUCAAAUCGUACCCCAAACCGACACAGGUGGUCAGGUAGAGAAUACCAAGGCGCUUGAGAGAACUCGGGUGAAGGAACUAGGCAAAAUGGUGCCGUAACUUCGGGAGAAGGCACGCUGACACGUAGGUGAAGUGAUUUACUCAUGGAGCUGAAGUCAGUCGAAGAUACCAGCUGGCUGCAACUGUUUAUUAAAAACACAGCACUGUGCAAACACGAAAGUGGACGUAUACGGUGUGACGCCUGCCCGGUGCCGGAAGGUUAAUUGAUGGGGUCAGCGCAAGCGAAGCUCCUGAUCGAAGCCCCGGUAAACGGCGGCCGUAACUAUAACGGUCCUAAGGUAGCGAAAUUCCUUGUCGGGUAAGUUCCGACCUGCACGAAUGGCGUAAUGAUGGCCAGGCUGUCUCCACCCGAGACUCAGUGAAAUUGAACUCGCUGUGAAGAUGCAGUGUACCCGCGGCAAGACGGAAAGACCCCGUGAACCUUUACUAUAGCUUGACACUGAACAUUGAGCCUUGAUGUGUAGGAUAGGUGGGAGGCUUUGAAGUGUGGACGCCAGUCUGCAUGGAGCCGACCUUGAAAUACCACCCUUUAAUGUUUGAUGUUCUAACGUGGACCCGUUACCCGGGUUGCGGACAGUGUCUGGUGGGUAGUUUGACUGGGGCGGUCUCCUCCUAAAGAGUAACGGAGGAGCACGAAGGUUGGCUAAUCCUGGUCGGACAUCAGGAGGUUAGUGCAAUGGCAUAAGCCAGCUUGACUGCGAGCGUGACGGCGCGAGCAGGUGCGAAAGCAGGUCAUAGUGAUCCGGUGGUUCUGAAUGGAAGGGCCAUCGCUCAACGGAUAAAAGGUACUCCGGGGAUAACAGGCUGAUACCGCCCAAGAGUUCAUAUCGACGGCGGUGUUUGGCACCUCGAUGUCGGCUCAUCACAUCCUGGGGCUGAAGUAGGUCCCAAGGGUAUGGCUGUUCGCCAUUUAAAGUGGUACGCGAGCUGGGUUUAGAACGUCGUGAGACAGUUCGGUCCCUAUCUGCCGUGGGCGCUGGAGAACUGAGGGGGGCUGCUCCUAGUACGAGAGGACCGGAGUGGACGCAUCACUGGUGUUCGGGUUGUCAUGCCAAUGGCACUGCCCGGUAGCUAAAUGCGGAAGAGAUAAGUGCUGAAAGCAUCUAAGCACGAAACUUGCCCCGAGAUGAGUUCUCCCUGAGACUUA
rnacentral:rRNA from 2 species